GAACACGCGUUCCAUCCUCGAAGGCAGUAUGCUUUAAAUGAUCUCCAUCUUCUUUUGCCAGAUUGUACGCGUAAAUUUGAGAUCCAAUCCCUGCACAGGAAGCGCAGAUCACGACUGGAUCGUUCAGAAAAACUAUGAAGAGAAGCACCCUGUGCACAUUUGUUCCGCACCUGCUAGCACGUAGAUGUCUUUGAUGCCUGACUCUAAACACCACAGCGUAGUCACAUCUCCUGUGAAGUCACGGCGAUACAAUGGCAUCGAUCUACAAAUCUACGACUUCGCGUGUUCUGGUGGGCAAGCUUCGAUGUUCUGCAGAUCAGCCGUACUAGUCAUUCCGUGACAAUCACAUAUGUUUCAUAUG
rnacentral:lncRNA from 1 species